UUUCAAGCACAUGGCUGGUAGAAUUGCUGACGUGGCUAGGAAAUAUUAUGGUCUGCUAGGGUUACUGGUUCCUCGUGAGAUAUGCUGCCUGCCGUCGGGGGCCCCCCAGGCUCUUCGGCGUCAUCCUUCCAUCGGUCCUUCGCCGAUAUGGUGGCGCAAUUGCCAUAGCCUCUCCCUGAGGUUGUUAUUCCAUUGUGGCCUCCCCAGAUACUGGAUGGUGAAGUCUUCAUCAGUUUUACGAAGGAGGAGAUUGUGAGGUCUGCUUCUCCUUUUGCUUUUUCUUUAGUUCUCAAGUUUCUCCGUCAGCGCCCCUCUUUGGAUGUUAUUCGCUCAGUUAUUCGCAGCAGAUGGGGAUUGGAAUCUCAACUGGUGGUUUCAGCUAUGCCUAAACCAAGAUCUGUCUUCCUGCAGUUCUCAAAUGAGUUGGUGUCUCGUUUCGUAUGUUCCACUGGUCCCCGAAUUACACUGAAGAAAAAGAAUCGUCAGUGAUUACUGUUUGGAUUUCUUUGCCGGAUCUUCCUCUGAAUUUCUACCAUGAGUCCUUCCUUCAGAAUAAAACCAUGCCGAUUGGAAAGAUUGUUCGUCAUGAUAACUGCACUCGAUGUGUAACUAGUACUGAUGGAGCGCGAGUCUGUAUUGAAAUGGAUACUGCCCAAAAACCGAUCGAAUCCAUCUGGAUUGGAGUUCCUCAUCAGCUUGGUAGUAGACUUCAACAUGUGAUAUCUGAAAAUCUAUCGGCUUAUUGUUGCCAUUGUCAGGUGCAAGGCCAUAAUAUCCUGGAAUGCAAAUGGGUGAAGCAAAAUGGUGGGAAACCUACUCUGAAUGACAUUAAGGAUGGAAAAUGUUGGUUUCGUAGAGAGAAAAAGAAAAAGAAUGAAGAGACCAACCCUGUUAGGGGAAUCAGAUUCACCCUCUAUGACUAAAGACGUCGCGACUGGUGAGAAAGGGAAUCCAGUGGUGGGUAGAGCUGAGCUGCGUCCUACGACCGAUAAUCAUGAUGGUGUCGAUGGUUUGGAGGACUUGAUAAUACAUACGGAAAUUCCUGAGAUGAUGCAAGAGCCUAACAAGACAGAUGUGCAGCAGGCUUCUUCAGAAUUCUUUACUUGAAAGCAAUACGGCAAGGGGGGUUGUGGAUACUCUGCCCGAGGUUGAUGGUGAAUCUCUGCAGCCAGUUGACGAACCUAUUUUAGAGGUUUCACUUUCUGGUGAUGGUUUAGAGCAUGAAACUGAUUUUAAAAUAUGUACUGGCUCUGAAAAUGACCUGAACGAUAAACUGGAACACAUAGGUAAAGAAAAAAACAAUGCGUAUGAUACUAAGAAGCGACCCAAAGGUGGGAAAGUUACACGAUUGAGGAGCUCUACGAGGUCCUGAAGCAGGCCUCCCAAAUUUAAUCUAUGAUAAGUCCAAUUUUCUAUUGGAACUUAAGAGGUCUUGGUAACUCUAAAAUGCGCUGUGUAAGUUGAUCUUUAAGUCUAAACCAAGAAUUAUUGCUAUUGCUGAGCCUUUCUUGUCAGAUAGCAGAAUGUAGAGUCUCCAACGUUCUAUUCGGUUCUUGAAUGGUAUAUCUAAUGACGUUGAGAAUGGAAAACUAUGGGUUUUAUGGAAGGAGGCCUCAAAAGUCAAAGUUAUACACCAGGGUCCUCAACAUCUUACGGUGGAGUAUUCGGAAUCUGGUAAACUUUUAUACAUUUCUUUUGUAUAUGCUCGUUGUAAGCAACUAGACCACAGAGAACUUGGGGAUACUUUAGCUACUAAUAUUUUGAGUGGGUUUUCUUGGCUCAUUUCUGGGGAUUUCAACAUCAUUCGGGCUCAUGAUUCUGAACAUAGAGGAGGUUAGCCGAGAUCUCAUUUUGCUAUGGAAGAGUUCAACUCAUUUAUUGAUUCGACUGGUUUAUCGGAAAUGGGGUUCCUGGAAAUAUUCCUUCGUGGUGUAAUGGACACUCAGGUUUGUCACGUAGCUGGGUGUAACACCCAGAGCCAGAGUGAUUUAUUAUUAUUAUUAUUAUUAUAAAUUUCAGAUAUGUUUUGAAUCAGAUUUUAAGACGGUGUUUGUUGUUGAUUGAGUUUCAUCCCUUAUCCCGAAUUUUUCUCCCUACUGUUUUUCAGUUUGAAUAACACUCAUAGAUCGGAACCAACUCCCAAUUUCAAACCCUACCCAAACUCCUGAAAACUCACGUAAAACCCUUUCCCUUAUAAAAUCCCACCAAACCCUCAGAUUAAUCAUUCAGAAUGUUAGUCAACAAAGAGGGAAAAGAAAAGAAAGUACUCGCGCAGCCCCUUCUUUUUACCCAACCACCUUGUCGGAGCACCUUCAGAUCUCCAUAAACACUGCCAGUCAACCCACUUCGUUGAACACCUCACUAUUUGGUCACGAGCUACAACAUGAGAUUUCAGAAGUAGCGCUUAGAGGUAAUUAAUAUGAUCAUAUAAUUGCAUAUGUACUGUAAAUUCUCUAAUGGUAUAUGAUAAUAUGAUGUUUGUCUACGCUACGCUACAAGCUCAGUCAAGGUUAGAUUCCCUUCAUGAUCUUUGAUGAAUUAUGACAUCAUGCUUGUAUGAAUGAAUUGUUGUUUGAUGGAAUAAAUAAUUCUAAAAUCAUAUGGAAGCCAUGAGAUGUUCAUUAAGUCAAGUAUGCUAUGUAAUAAAGUAGCUAGAUUAUGUAUGCCAUGCUCAUGUAGUACCUAGAUCAUGUAUUCCAUGUUCAUGUAGUGAUUAAACCAUAUAUGCUAUGUAAUGUCAUUUAGAUCAAGCAUGUGAUGUAAAGUUCAUAUAGAUCUCAAAUCAUGUAUGCCAUGGAAUGUUUAUAUUUAGAUCAUAUUGUGCCAUGUACAAGAAUAUGCCAUGUUAUGCCAUGCCAUGUAUAAGGAUAUGCCAUGUUAUGCUAUGCCAUUUACAAGUAUACGCUAUGCUAGAAAAGUUCAUGAUAUUAAAUAAGAUCUUAUGCAUUAAGAAAGAUAAGAUAUUUAAGAGUGACAUGGACCUAAGUGUAUUCACCACAAGCUAUGUUAAGACGGUACCACGGACCUAAGCAUGGUUCACCAUAAGUUAAGUGAAACACGGACCUAAGCAUGUUUCACUUUAAGUUAUGUUAAAGAUGACAUGGACCCAAGCGUGUUCAUCACAAGUUAUGUUAAGGAUGACAUGGACCUAAGCGUGUUCAUCACAAGUUAUGUUAAGGAUGACACAGAUCUAAGCGUAUUCAUCACAAGAUAUGUUAAGGAUGACACGGACUUAAGCGUGUUCAUCACAAGUUAUGUUAAGGGUGACACGGACCUAAGUGUGUUCACCACAAGUUAUGCUAUGCGGUGCCACGGACUCAAGCGUGGUUUACCUUAUGUAAAGUGAAACAUGGACUUAAGAGUGUUUCACUCCAUGUCAUGACAAGUUAUGGGGUGCCACGGACUUAAGCGUGGUUCACCUUAUAAUAAGUGAAAGACAAGAUAAAUAAGUAAAUUAUGCAUUUACGUUUAUAUGUUCGCCAUGAUUAUGUAUGUUUCCACUCAUGUUGAUAAUAAUAGACAUGCUAUGAGAAUCUGUGAAUGAUAAAUGUUUGUUUGAAGAGUCUUUCAAAAAUUAAGUCUUAUUAAGUUAUAUUUUAUGGUAUGAUGCACUAUUUACUAAGUAUUCGACUCAUUUUUGUUUGUUUGUUUGUUUCUCUGUUCUCUUCUAUGUUUAAAUGUCACAGAUGUUGGUUAUAAGGACAUAAAGCUGGAGGACUAGGAGUAGACCUAGUGCAAGGACUUAAUUAUUCUAUGUUUUUGGAUAAAAAGUCACGUGUAGGGAUAUGAAUCUCUUUACCGAGCAAUAUGUUAUGUACGUUAGUAACAUUUCUAUCCUACGGGAACGGGGUGUAACACUGGGCAAAAUUCGGCAGAUAUUCAUUGAACUCAGCAGUUCUUAUGGAUUUUCCUAAUGCUCAUAUGCAAUACUUGCCUUGGACAAAUUUUGAUCAUGCUCCAAUGAUCAUAUGGAUGGAAAAGGUGAUGGCUUGCUAUGGUUUUUCUUCUUUUAAAUUCCAAAAAUGUGGAUUUCACAUGAAUAUAUAAUUUUUUUACUGUGUUAAAAAAAGCUUGGGAAGAAUAUGAUAUCAAUGAUAAGGGGCUAUUUAGACUGGUUCAAAAGCUUAAAAAGAGUCAGGGUUGUUUGAGUGCAUGGAAUAAAACAUCCUUUGGUAGAACUGAUUUUAACAUCAAUUUACUAGAGGCACAUAUAGAAGCAUUAGAGGAAUCCUUACAACAUGGGUAUUCUGAAGGUGAUGAGAUUGAUUUCCCUAUUGGAGUUAAAUUUGAGGCAACAAAGGGAAUCUACUCGGUUAGCACAACAAUGCAAACAAACUUGGUUAAAGAAUGGUGAUGCUACUAUUCCUUUCUUUCGAGCCUUGAAGAGCCAAAACAAUAUUGUGGUGCAUGAGAUGUCUCUCAAGGAUGGUCGUAGCUAGGCUUAUUUCUCCUGAAGACAUUCAUAAUGAAGCUGUGAAUUAUUUCUCUGAUUUUUUUUGCUUUUAACAAGGUGGUCAAUUACUAGAUUUGUCUCAUCUAGUAAGCCCGAUGUUCUCUACAUUUGACAAUUUUAAUUUUUGUAAGCUCCCUUCGAUCCAAGAAAUAAAGGAUACUCUUUUCUCUAUUCCAAUUGAUAGUAGCUCAAGUUCUUUCAUUCUUGUUGGAAUAUUGUUGGUAAAGAUGUGGUAGAAGUGAUUUAGGAUUUCUUUAAGGGUACCUCUCUCCCAAGGUACUAGGCCUGCAACCUGGCUUGGAUUAGCUGGGUUUGUGCCCGACCCGACUCGACCCGAAACACGCCAAAUAACGCGCCAAUCCGAUCCGAUCCAACCCGAUCAAAGUAAAAGCAGGUCGAACCCGUAUAACCCGAUCAGGGCUUGCACCGUGGAAUAGAAGCCAAAUGAUGGAAGAGGGGGACUUGACGGAUGUGACGCCCCCAAAUCCCACGUAC